GACGAACGCUGGCGGCGUGCCUAACACAUGCAAGUCGAGCAAAUGAAGUUCCUUCGGGAACGGAUUUAGCGGCGGACGGGUGAGUAACACGUGGGCAACCUGCCUCAUAGAGGGGAGUAGCCUUCCGAAAGGGAGAUUAAUACCGCAUAAGAUUGUAGUAUCGCAUGGUACAGCAAUUAAGGGAGCAAUCCGCUAAGAGAUGGGCCCGCGGCGCAGUAGCUAGUUGGUGAGGUAACGGCUCACCAAGGCGACGAGGCGUAGCCGACCUGAGAGGGUGAUCGGCCACAUUGGGACUGAGACACGGCCCAGACUCCUACGGGAGGCAGCAGUGGGGAAUAUUGCACAGUGGGGGAAACCCUGAUGCAGCAACGCCGCGUGAGUGAUGACGGCCUUCGGGUUGUAAAGCUCUGUCUUCAGGGACGAUAAUGACGGUACCUGAGGAGGAAGCCACGGCUAACUACGUGCCAGCCGCCGCAGUAACAC
rnacentral:rRNA from 1 species